rnacentral:rRNA from 1 species
AUGUGGAUCCAAGGCGGUAAAAAACAAAAUCGAAGAGAAGAGAGAAAAAAACGCAAACCAAUAAUCAAAUACCGCUACAUUUUUUAUUUGGUGUUUCAGAUCGGGCAAGGCACGUACAGCAACGUGUACAAGGCGCGGGACUCGCUGAGCGGCAAGAUCGUGGCGCUCAAGAAGGUGCGCUUCGACAACCUGGAGCCCGAGAGCGUGCGGUUCAUGGCCCGGGAGAUCCUCAUCCUCCGCCGCCUCGACCACCCCAACGUCAUGAAGCUCUACGGCCUCGUCACCUCCCGCAUGUCCUGCAGCCUCUACCUCGUCUUCGACUACAUGGUCCAUGACCUCGCCGGCCUCGCCGCCAGCCCCGACAUCAAGUUCACUCUGCCACAGGUCAAGUGCUAUGUGCAUCAGCUGCUGUCAGGGUUGGAGCACUGCCACAACCAGGGAGUGCUGCACCGUGACAUCAAGGGGUCGAAUCUGCUCUUGGAUGACGACGGUGUGCUGAAGAUUGGAGACUUCGGUCUGGCGUCGUUCUUCGACCCGAACCAUAAGCAACCGAUGACCAGUCGCGUCGUGACACUCUGGUACCGGCCACCAGAGUUACUGUUGGGUGCUACGGAUUAUGGAGUAGGUGUCGACUUGUGGAGUGCCGGAUGUAUCCUUGCCGAGUUGCUGGCUGGGAAGCCUAUUAUGCCGGGACGGACCGAGGUAGAACAGUUGCAUAAAAUAUUUAAGCUAUGCGGAUCCCCUGCUGAAGAAUAUUGGAAAAAAUCAAAGCUGCCUCAUGCAACCAUAUUUAAGCCCCAACAGCCGUACAAAAGGCGAAUAGCAGAGACAUUCAAAGAUUUCCCGCAAUCAGCACUUCGGCUGAUUGAAACACUCCUAUCAAUUGAUCCUGCUGAUCGUUUAACAGCUACUGCUGCAUUAAAUAGUGAUUUCUUUAAAACGGAACCUCUUGCUUGCGAUCCAUCAAGUCUGCCCCAAUACCCACCAAGCAAAGAGAUGGAUGCAAAACGAAGAGAUGAAGAAGCUAGACGUUUAAGAGCUGCUGGUAGUAGACCUAAUGGUGAUGGAGCUAGGAAGACAAGGACGCGGGAUCGACCAAGGGCUGUUCCAGCACCAGAGGCAAAUGCCGAACUUCAAGCAAAUAUCGACAAAAGAAGGCUAAUAACGCAUGCAAAUGCGAAGAGCAAGAGCGAAAAGUUCCCUCCACCACAUCAAGAUGGCGCACUCGGCUAUCCGUUGGGUUGUUCGAAUCACAUGGAACCUACAUUUGAGCCCCCCGACCCGUCUUCGUUCAGUACCGUAUUUCCUUACGACAAGACCGCCGUGCCUACGUGGUCUGGACCCCUGGUCGACCCUCCUGGGGGCAACCAGAAACGGAAACACAAGUCGGGACGCUCUUCGAAACAACCAUCAACUGCCCGUGCUCGGUGA